GUCAGCAGGCGCUUAUUUCAGUCAAAUGGGUCAGUCCAUUCACAGACAAGACUUAAGAAAAUAUUACCUUUCUACUUAAAGAUUCCAGGAAUUGCACUUUCUGGGCCCAAAGCCUCCCUGCCUGCCCUCACACCUUUUCUACAGCUGCUGGGUCAGACUGAAGCCUGGGGCCGGCCUACACCUCUGCCUUCGAGUCUUAUCUUCAGUUGCCUGGGCUGCCUUCGGCCGGAGGCCCGCCUACCUGCCCAUGCGCCGUUCUUCAGCAGUCCGGCUGCCCGGCUGCCCGCCAUCAGCAGGCCCACAGCAAGAGUGACGGCCAUAUCGGAGUGGCGAGCAGCAGAGAGAGAGCCUCUCCGAGGCUAAUGGCUGAGAAUUGAAGCCCACCGGGAGAGCGAAGAUAGUCACUGCAAUAAAAGACCCAGCAGACUACAGCGGUUGAAGAUAGACCUCAACUGGGGAUCUGCUAAGCUGUUUGUGAAAAUGACUCUGUACACAGACUGAAACACCCAGAGAAUCUGCACCCUCAUGAAGCUAAAGUUAGAUAGAAUGAAACUCAAAUUGAGUAUCCUAAGUUCUGCACCAGGCAUUCUGCUACAUGUUUCUAGAACCUGAUUUUUCUGCAUUUGAAUUCAGAUUACUCAAUAUUCUGUGAAGAUGAAAGGGCUUAGACCCCAGAAAGCCCUGCACCUGCAAAAGAGACGACUGACAGAUAGGAUGGAAGUUCAUUGGCUUUUAAAUAAACUUUGCUGGAAAGCCUAAGGCUUGCUUUAUUCCUGCCUCCGAAGUUUCAAAGGAAAAGUUUCUCCCUGCCAAAUCCCAGGACAAAGAGUAAAUGACCUGCCUAUUCUCUGUCUCUGAGCAAAAGAGCCUGAAGGGACAUGGC
rnacentral:lncRNA from 1 species